rnacentral:rRNA from 1 species
AGACCCGAAACCCGGUGAUCUAGCCAUGGGCAGGUUGAAGGUUGGGUAACACUAACUGGAGGACCGAACCGACUAAUGUUGAAAAAUUAGCGGAUGACCUGUGGCUGGGGGUGAAAGGCCAAUCAAACCGGGAGAUAGCUGGUUCUCCCCGAAAGCUAUUUAGGUAGCGCCUCGUGAAUUCAUCUCCGGGGGUAGAGCACUGUUUCGGCUAGGGGGCCAUCCCGGCUUACCAACCCGAUGCAAACUGCGAAUACCGGAGAAUGUUAUCACGGGAGACACACGGCGGGUGCUAACGUCCGUCGUGAAGAGGGAAACAACCCAGACCGCCAGCUAAGGUCCCAAAGUCAUGGUUAAGUGGGAAACGAUGUGGGAAGGCCCAGACAGCCAGGAUGUUGGCUUAGAAGCAGCCAUCAUUUAAAGAAAGCGUAAUAGCUCACUGGUCGAGUCGGCCUGCGCGGAAGAUGUAACGGGGCUAAACCAUGCACCGAAGCUGCGGCAGCGACGCUUAUGCGUUGUUGGGUAGGGGAGCGUUCUGUAAGCCUGUGAAGGUGGCCUGUGAGGGUUGCUGGAGGUAUCAGAAGUGCGAAUGCUGACAUAAGUAACGAUAAAGCGGGUGAAAAGCCCGCUCGCCGGAAGACCAAGGGUUCCUGUCCAACGUUAAUCGGGGCAGGGUGAGUCGACCCCUAAGGCGAGGCCGAAAGGCGUAGUCGAUGGGAAACGGGUUAAUAUUCCCGUACUUGGUGUUACUGCGAAGGGGGGACGGAGAAGGCUAUGUUGGCCGGGCGACGGUUGUCCCGGUUUAAGCGUGUAGGCUGGUUUUCCAGGCAAAUCCGGAAAAUCAAGGCUGAGGCGUGACGACGAGGCACUACGGUGCUGAAGCAACAAAUGCCCUGCUUCCAGGAAAAGCCUCUAAGCAUCAGGUAACAUCAAAUCGUACCCCAAACCGACACAGGUGGUCAGGUAGAGAAUACCAAGGCGCUUGAGAGAACUCGGGUGAAGGAACUAGGCAAAAUGGUGCCGUAACUUCGGGAGAAGGCACGCUGACACGUAGGUGAAGUGAUUUACUCAUGGAGCUGAAGUCAGUCGAAGAUACCAGCUGGCUGCAACUGUUUAUUAAAAACACAGCACUGUGCAAACACGAAAGUGGACGUAUACGGUGUGACGCCUGCCCGGUGCCGGAAGGUUAAUUGAUGGGGUCAGCGCAAGCGAAGCUCCUGAUCGAAGCCCCGGUAAACGGCGGCCGUAACUAUAACGGUCCUAAGGUAGCGAAAUUCCUUGUCGGGUAAGUUCCGACCUGCACGAAUGGCGUAAUGAUGGCCAGGCUGUCUCCACCCGAGACUCAGUGAAAUUGAACUCGCUGUGAAGAUGCAGUGUACCCGCGGCAAGACGGAAAGACCCCGUGAACCUUUACUAUAGCUUGACACUGAACAUUGAGCCUUGAUGUGUAGGAUAGGUGGGAGGC